AUUUCUUUUACUGUAAGGUUGCAGUGCUUUUAUCUCCAAAAGAAGACCUGUACAUCUUUAUUUAAGUGUGCACUCAGAGGUUGUAUCUCUCUUGGUUCAAAUUUGAAUGUUUUUGAUGGACUGCAUGGAAAUGACCCACUUAACAUAUUAUGGCUUUAUUGGAUUUGUAUUCAGAGACGAAGUCAUCCAGGGAAGCUCUGCUCUCGCUCACUGGCUAUGUCAGAGGGAAAGACAAGUCUUUCAGAGCUUCUGUGGAGGUGUGCUGCAUCUUUACAUUUUAAUGCUUUUUUUUCUUUAAGAUGAAGAACAAUCAUGAACAGAACUGUUGUGGCUUGCACUUUGAUCAGGAAAACAUCAGCGUGGCAGGUACAAGGAAAACAACCAACAUCAGUGAUUAAUCUGUCCUCAUCGCUCCUGUAAGAGCAAUUUGUGCAAACUCUCCAUCCUGAGAAAUGUUCAAAUACUAAUGGCACAAGUCCCUCUAAAAAUCCUCAGACGUGUUUCCCUUCCUUGGAUAGAACAGAAGAGAUCAGUAACAAAACAGAAGGACUAUAGCUACCCAUAAUAUAUUAUUUUUUGCAGUUACAUGCACACAAAGUCUUUUCCCUGCUGGAAGAUGUAAAUGGGAUCAUUUAUUUCUCCUCAUCUUUAGCUUGGCACCUUCCCCCGAAGUGACAGAGCACAAACUGUUCCUACAUCAAUGAGCAGUUCCUAUCCUCCUAUCUGAUAUACUGCUACCUUGUGUUUAUUGCAAUAAAAAUCCUGAAAUUUGAACUUUGCUCCCAUCACACUCAUUGUAGUGGAUAAAGACCUGGGACACUUCCCAUCUGUUUGAGUAAGAUCACUCAAACAGCAAGCUGCUGUUCAGCUUGGUUAAGCUGGAAAGAUCUGACCCCAGAAUAACCCAAUAAAGUUUGGCAACUGUUUGAAACUGCUAAAAGACCGGAGUGUUUUCUCCAGUAGAUGACUCAGUAUUUUUAUUCUCAGAUGGAAUAGGGACUAGAGAAAAGCUCUGUUCAGGAAAGCCGUACUGGAAACCUUUUCAAAGCACAGAGGUCAGUAGACAGCACAGAAACUCAGCUGCAACUCUUGCAGGAGUCAGUUAUCUGCUAAUCUACUGGUUUAAAAAUAGCUACAAGUGGAAACAAUUUUGAGUGAUGGGGAUGAUUUGCUUGAUCCUGACUAAAAACCACAAAUCCAUAGAAAAGCCAAAUUGAAUUGCUCUUGGUAGGAGAUCUUUCUGAUGAAAGGUGAUGUAAUUUGGGGCUGUUGGUAAACAAACCAAGAUGUUGAUUAAUGCAUAUGAUUUCCAAAACUCAUGGUGAAUUAAAAACAAGCCAAUUAGAAGACAAUCUGAAGAGUCAAACUGAUUUCAUAUACAAAAGCUUUUUGGUGUA